rnacentral:hammerhead_ribozyme from 13 species
CACUGGUUGGGAACUGAGGCCGUUCUCCUGAUGAGCCCAAGGCAGGGCGAAACCAGUC